CAUGCCGCGUGCAGGAUGAAGGCCUUCGGGUUGUAAACUGCUUUUAUAUGAGAAGACUAUGACGGUAACAUAUGAAUAAGGACCGGCUAACUACGUGCCAGCAGCCGCGGUAAUA
rnacentral:rRNA from 1 species